AAAUUGAAGAGUUUGAUCAUGGCUCAGAUUGAACGCUGGCGGCAGGCCUAACACAUGCAAGUCGAACGGUAGCACAGAGAGCUUGCUCUCGGGUGACGAGUGGCGGACGGGUGAGUAAUGUCUGGGAAACUGCCUGAUGGAGGGGGAUAACUACUGGAAACGGUGGCUAA
rnacentral:rRNA from 4 species